GUUUCAGGUCAAAUCCUGAAUUCCAAAUUGACGGCUGCAGUUCUUUAAAAAGUCGAACGAACCCACCAACUGUACGCAGUGCUAUCGGAAGUGUUCUCUACUCAACAAAUCGCGAAAGCUAACAACCCAAACAUCUUUCAAAAUGAAAUUCUUGAUCAUGACCAUCUGCCUGAUCGUUCUGGCUUUUGCCCUGGUGUCUGCUGCUACCAACGAUGAAACCAUCCUGGGAGAUCAUGCGGCGGACGAGGUCGUGAACGCACAGAAUCCAUCGGAAAUCCACUAUCUCAGGAUGAAGUGGCUGCUGAAGAAACUACUGCACUUGGGAUAGAAAUCGCCAUUUAUUCUAGUUUGCUUUCCAAAGGUGUACAAUUGAGAGCAGACUCAAUGUCUGACUCACAUAGAUUAAUUGAAAUUUAGUUUAAGAUAUAGGAAUAUCCUGGUGUGACAAAUACAAGUUUAAUUAAAGCUGAA